CUCCUACGGGAGGCAGCAGUAGGGAAUUUUCGUCAAUGGGGGGAACCUGAACGAGCAAUGCCGCGUGAGUUAAGACGGUCUUCGGAUUGUAAAGCUCUGUUGUGAGAGAAAAAGGAUAUAUAUAGGAAAUGAUAUGUAUUUGAUGGUAUCUCACCAGAAAGUCACGGCUAACUACGUGCCAGCAGCCGCGGUAAUACGUAGGUGGCGAGCGUUAUCCGGAAUGAUUGGGCGUAAAGGGUACGUAGGCGGCAUGAUAAGUCUGGAGUGAAAGGCUACAGCUCAACUGUAGUAUGCUCUGGAAACUGUCAAGCUAGAGUGCAGAAGAGGGCAAUGGAACUCCAUGUGUAGCGGUAAAAUGCGUAGAUAUAUGGAAGAACACCGGUGGCGAAGGCGGUUGCCUGGUCUGAAACUGACGCUGAAGUACGAAAGCGUGGGGAGCAAAUAGGAUUAGAUACCCUAGUAGUCCACGCCGUAAACGAUGAGAACUAGGUGUUGGGGGAAUAACUCAGUGCCGCAGUUAACGCAAUAAGUUCUCCGCCUGGGGAGUAUGCACGCAAGUGUGAAACUCAAAGGAAUUGACGGGGGCCCGCACAAGCGGUGGAGUAUGUGGUUUAAUUCGAAGCAACGCGAAGAACCUUACCAGGCCUUGACAUCCCUUGCAGAGAUAUAGAGAUAUAUCCGAGGUUAUCAAGGAGACAGGUGGUGCAUGGUUGUCGUCAGCUCGUGUCGUGAGAUGUUGGGUUAAGUCCCGCAACGAGCGCAACCCUUGUGAUAUGUUACCAAUAUUAAGUUAGGGACUCAUAUCAGACUGCCGGUGAUAAACCGGAGGAAGGUGGGGAUGACGUCAAAUCAUCAUGCCCCUUAUGGCCUGGGCUACACACGUACUACAAUGGCGGAUACAAAGGGCAGCGACAGUGUGAACUGAAGCGAAUCCCAUAAAGUCCGUCCCAGUUCGGAUUGGAGUCUGCAACCCGACUCCAUGAAGUUGGAAUCGCUAGUAAUCGCGAAUCAGCAUGUCGCGGUGAAUACGUUCUCGGGCCUUGUACACACCGC
rnacentral:rRNA from 1 species